AAAUUCAAAACUGAUUAUAGCAGUUCGGCUAUACUAUUUUUCAAUAUAAAAAAGGACCCCAACCAUUAUGCCCCAUGUGUCAACACAUGACUUUGGAAAAAAAAUUUCAAAACUAAGUAUAGCCGCGCGGCUAUACUAUUUUUAAAAUAUAAAACAAGGUCCCCCAACAAAUAGGAGCCACGUGUCAACAAAUGUAUUUUUUUUAAAAAUUUCGAAACUGAGCUAUACUGUUUUUAAAUAGAAAAAAAGGUCCCCCAAG
rnacentral:lncRNA from 1 species